CCUGAGUGGAAACGAGCCUUAAUUACCAGCGGGCAGUGUGCGUACAGUAAGAAGAGGAAACAUUAUGGGUUUCUAUUAAGGAAUCGUAUCAAUUUAAAGGAAAAAAGACACUAAAUUGGGAUACUAAAAAUCGCAUCUGGCAACUCUAGCAUAGCUUUCAAUGGAGUUUACAAUUUUACGUCGUAGAUUGUUUAUACAACGGCGGUUCCCGCGCGUCGUGACGCAUCACAGCGCUGUGUCCGCGCACCGCGUGUUCGAGUAAUUUUCCUAACCGGACUUUUCUGUGUAUGGAUCAUGACAAUCCGUUACAUAAACAAUUAAGCAGUAAAUGCGCAGUCAUGGGACGGAAUUAUAUUGGGAACGGGUGAGUGUAACCUUUACCGAUAUAGGUGAAAUGUAUCUCGGUAAAUAUUGUAAGAAUGAAAUGCAGACCUGGCAACCGGCAGACGAGGGUUCUCGGACGUUGAUAUUUUAUUUAGAGAGGAAGGCGAGGCAUCGUUGCAGCGCGCCGCGCCUCUGAGUGGAUUUGCCGCAAGCGUCUUGCGCCCCCGGCAUCUAGACGCUCGCCUCUCGCGCCUCUCAUAAAAUUUUUAAAGGAGCACAGGUGAUAUUUUAAUAACUGUAGAGGCUCGCUCCUUUAUUACAACAAACGGCUCGCGAGCUUUACUCGCACAUACCGAAUGUCAACGUCUCGUACGGGCUGUAAUCUAAAACUUUGAGCGUAUACAGCAUCUCGAAAUAACGACAUUUUUACUUCAAAUAGUGUGUUCUAAGAAAAUCGUAUUGUGGAGUUAGUCGGGCUUUCAUCAUUUUGAACUUUGGAUCUUGUUUCACUGUUAUGCGAUUUACUUGAUAUUUGUAAUCUGGCUUCGUUGUUACGAAACAACUUUUACUAUUUAUAUAUCAAAGAGUUAUAUUAAAUUACUUUACGUUUAUAUUCAGACUAUUGCUUUAUAUUUACAAGAAAUUUCAGAAAAAAAUAAUCAAUGACAAGUAUUUCUCGAAGUCUUCAACAGAGUCCAGAAGAACGUUAUUAAGGCCAGUUAAGGCUAAAUGGUGUUGUCACACGGGUCCGGGGUACAAAACAGCUGUAAACAAAAACCAGUACGGACGGCGAAUGAUCGACGAUGAUUGAGCGAACAAAACAUUGUACGUGACCGCAAAUGGGGUGACUUGUCUAUGAAGUGUGUUCUCUUUAACUUUAUUUUUGUCUAGUGGUGGAAUGUUGUGAGAAAGGAACGAGCUUAGUAAAUACAGCUCAAAAAAAAACAGGUUUAAGUCCAAUUGAAAUAUUUUUGACAUAUCCCCAAAAAUUGGCUAAUCUUUCUACUACGAUAGUAACCGAAAUAUGUGAAGUUUGUUAAAUUCAACUUUUUCUUAGACACAUUUUAAAAUAGAAGAAUUUAAUAGUCUUAUUAAAAUCAUAUUUUGAACGAGAGGCGUUGAGAGUUUAACGCUUAAGAAGAGUUAAGAAAGAACGAUAGUAGUUUUUAUGGAUGCAAACGGAAUAGUGACCCCGUCUACGCUAUUAGUAUACGCUAGAAGAGUGAUAGUAGUUGAUAGCGUAACACGAAUUUAAUAGAUUUCAAUCUAGACUAAAUUCUACCUCAAUCAGACAGGUUCUGAUAAGGCGUUGAAAAAUUUAUCCGAAUAGCUACUAUCCGAUACUAGCAAAACCUGAUUACCUGAUAAAAGUGCAUAAGUGUUUACAUUUGCACUAAAAAUACAUUUUUGUACACCUCUAUUGACUGUUUCGACAUUG